UACGUAGGGGUCCGAGCGUUGUCCGGAGUUACUGGGCGUAAAGGGCGCGCAGGCGGCGGUGCUGGCCCGGCGGUGAAAGCCCCCGGCUCAACCGGGGAGGGUCGUCGGGGACCGCACCGCUUGAGGGCGGUAGGGGCCGGUGGGAAUGCCUGGUGUAGUGGUGAAAUGCGUAGAUAUCGAGGAGGAACACCUGCGGUGUAGACGGCUUACUGGACGGUAACUGACGCUGAGGCACGAAAGCGUGGGUAGCAAACAGG
rnacentral:rRNA from 1 species